rnacentral:sRNA from 1 species
GUUGGGUGAAGUGGCAUGUAUCUGUAGUCCCAACUACUUGGUUACUGAGGUGGGAGGAUCACUUGAACUCAGGAGCUUUGGGCCAGUCUGAGUAACACCGCGAGACUCUGUCUCUA